CUCAGCUCCACAUUUCCCGAUAUGAACCUGCUGCAGGGACAACAUCCUCCCCUUUGUGCCCGGCUCAAUGAGUCCACGUGUACGACCAGUUCAAAGAUGCCACGUAAAGAGAGACGUCAGAAACAAAAAAGAAAGGAUCUGCUGGAAGCAGCGAAAGUUCCACGUUAAAGUUUGAUGCGGCUCUGUUUUUCUGAAUGGAGCGUCUUCAUCUCCACUGCAAGUACAGCGACCCAGGC